rnacentral:tRNA from 1 species
GGAGAGAUGGCUCAGUGGUUAAGAGCACUGGCUGCUCUUCCAGAGGUCCUGGGUUCAAUCCCCAGCACCC